CUGUCCGUGUGUGUGGCUCAGCCUGGGCUCCGCGGCCUCCCCUUGCACCGGACGUGGACCCAGGCUGCCGUUGGGCAAGAUAGAGGACUGAGCCAAGGCACAAACGGCUGGCCAGAAAAGGCUGGCCAGCCUCUGGUCCGGUACCAGGCAAGUGAUUGGAGUCCCUUUCCAGUUUGGAAACAUCUGGGCAGGCCCAGCUGGUAAGGUUACUUUUCUACUUUGAACAAGCAAACAAGCCAACAGAAGAGAAGUUUCACAAGCAACUCCCAGCACAUCCGCUCACCUAGUGUUGUCUGUGACCUCACUCUCGGUGCCCCACCUCUUAUUACAGAUUGAACAGGGUCCAGGGGGAAGGACCAAGCCUGUCCCAUCGGCCAUCCUAUGUGUCAUGUCCUGGGACCCAGUGGAUGCUCAGCACCUGAAGAAGAUUGUCUUAGACACAUGGAAGCUGAGGACGCCUACUCUCCCCUCGGAACCCAGGUGGGGCUGGGAGUCUGCUGUUUGUAUAGCCGGUGGGCUCGUGUUGCUUUGGGCAUCCCUGUGUCUGAAUUCCUGCAGUACACUCGGUGGUUUUACCUGAACCACCAGCUUCUGCAUCUCUGAAGACAGAUGAUGAGGACCCUUCACGUAAGCCGUUCGCACAGCCCUGUGCAGGCCUUUGUGCUGCACGGUCUGCCCUUCGAGAUAACUGAGUGCAUUCCAUGGUGCAUCCUCGCCUAGAAUUGAGUGGAAGCAAGUCCAUCUCAGAAGGGACAUAACUGAAGAGGGAUGGCUUUCCAGACUCUGAUGGGCAGAGAGAGCUGCAGCCUGGCCCUGUGUAAAACAUGAAGCGUGGACGGCCUGGUGAGCACAGCUCUGCCCUCAAGACCUGUUUCAACUCCUCUCUUCCCGGAAAACACCAUCUCUGAGCCCGCCCUUGGUGACCUCAGAGAGAUCACCCUAGUGGCCCAAGCUAGUGACCGGGAACAUGUACCUUCCUGCAGCCAACCCCAGACGUCCACUGAUGCAUCAUAUACUGGC